CCUACGGGAGGCAGCAGUGAGGAAUAUUGGUCAAUGGACGAGAGUCUGAACCAGCCAAGUAGCGUGAAGGAUGACUGCCCUAAGGGUUGUAAACUUCUUUUAUAUGGGAAUAAAAUGUUCCACGUGUGGGCUUUUGUAUGUACCUUAUGAAUAAGGAUCGGCUAACUCCGUGCCAGCAGCCGCGGUAAUACGGAGGAUCCGAGCGUUAUCCGGAUUUAUUGGGUUUAAAGGGAGCGUAGGUGGUUUGUUAAGUCAGUUGUGAAAGUUUGCGGCACAACCGUAAAAUUGCAGUUGAAACUGGCAGUCGUGAGUACAGUAGAGGUAGGCGGAAUUCGUGGUGUAGAGGUGAAAUGCUUAGAUAUCACGAAGAACUCCGAUUGCGAAGGAAGCUGACUGGACUGCCACUGACACUGAGGCUCGAAAGUGUGGGUAUCAAACAGGAUUAGAUACCCCUGUAGUC
rnacentral:rRNA from 1 species